GACGAACGCUGGCGGCGUGCCUAAUACAUGCAAGUAGGACGCUGAAGGAGGAGCUUGCUUCUCUGGAUGAGUUGCGAACGGGUGAGUAACGCGUAGGUAACCUGCCUGGUAGCGGGGGAUAACUAUUGGAAACGAUAGCUAAUACCGCAUAAUAGUAGAUGUUGCAUGACAUUUGCUUAAAAGGUGCAAUUGCAUCACUACCAGAUGGACCUGCGUUGUAUUAGCUAGUUGGUGGGGUAACGGCUCACCAAGGCGACGAUACAUAGCCGACCUGAGAGGGUGAUCGGCCACACUGGGACUGAGACACGGCCCAGACUCCUACGGGAGGCAGCAGUAGGGAAUCUUCGGCAAUGGACGGAAGUCUGACCGAGCAACGCCGCGUGAGUGAAGAAGGUUUUCGGAUCGUAAAGCUCUGUUGUAAGAGAAGAACGAGUGUGAGAGUGGAAAGUUCACACUGUGACGGUAUCUGACCAGAAAGGGACGGCUAACUACGUG
rnacentral:rRNA from 1 species